rnacentral:rRNA from 1 species
UACGUAGGGGGCGAGCGUUGUCCGGAAUCAUUGGGCGUAAAGCGCGUGUAGGCGGCUCGUUAAGUCCGGUGUGAAACCUUGGGGCUCAACCCCAAGCCUGCACUGGAUACUGCCUCGCUUGAGUCCGGGAGGGGAGAGCGGAAUUCCUAGUGUAGCGGUGAAAUGCGCAGAUAUUAGGAAGAACACCGGUGGCGAAGGCGGCUCUCUGGAACGGUACUGACGCUGAGACGCGAAAGCGUGGGGAGCGAACAGG